CCUUACUGCUCCACGUCAUUAGUUUUGCUCAGAUUGAGACAAACCUCCAUCUUGACAAGCCCAGGAGUACGCUUUGGGAACAUAUCAUUUGCUAAAAUAGGAAAGGAAAUGCUAGUAGCAUGCAUGGAUGCAUUGAGACAAAGCACUAACCUAGCUAACAUGGUGGAGGAGUUGGACUGGAAGAUAAAGCGGGGGCAAUAAGUUGGAGACGAGCUAGAGAUUUUGUGCAUGUGCACGGAGAGAAAGUAGACUUUUGAUCUACCUGAUGUUGUAGAUGCAGAGUUUUUGUGUAUUCCAAGUAAGCUGAAAUCUGUGCAAGAAUGAACAUCGUCACUUGGGGAAGAUGAUCGAAGAUAACACUAUGGCUUUUACUCAUGAACUGCAAACACUUUUCUUAUCAGGUUUGUU